UACAGAGGGUGCGAGCGUUGUUCGGAAUUAUUGGGCGUAAAGCGCUGGUAGGUGGCUUGUUAAGUCGCGUGUGAAAGCUCCCAGCUCAACCGGGAAAGUGCGCGCGAAACUGGCGAGCUUGAGUGCCGGAGAGGGUCGCGGAAUUCCCAGUGUAGAGGUGAAAUUCGUAGAUAUUGGGAGGAACACCAGAGGCGAAGGCGGCGACCUGGGAGGUAACUGACACUGAGCAGCGAAAGCGUGGGGAGCAAACAGGG
rnacentral:rRNA from 1 species